CCAGUCGGCCGGACGGCCGCUGCCAGGCUUGGUUGUGGCAAAGGCGACCCUAAAGGUCGUCGAGCGAUAGCGUCUGGUGGAGGAAAGUCCGGGCUCCAUGACGACACGGUGGCGGCUAACGGCCGCCGGGGGCAACCCCAGGGACAGUGCCACAGAAAAUAAACCGCCCCAGGCGAGUCCGAGGGUAAGGGUGAAACGGUGCGGUAAGAGCGCACCGCGCGUCUGGUAACAGAAGCGGCAGGGCAAACCCCACCGGGAGCAAGAUCAAAUAGGGGUGGGCGCGCAGGGCGGGCAACCGCUGCUGCGAGGCGCGUCAUCACGUUUCCCACCCGGGUUGAUUGCACGAGGCGUCGGGCGACCGGCGUCCCAGAUGAAUGGCCGUCGCGGAAGGGCAACCUUCCAGACAGAACCCGGCUUACAGGCCGACUGGUAAU
rnacentral:RNase_P_RNA from 1 species